UUGAGCUGAUUAGAUAAUAAACCCAACUUUCUGGGCGGAAGGGGAUUGCAAACCACUUGGAAAUAUUUCUGGAGCAGUGUCCAUGCCUAAUGUUUCUGGCCCUGCUAAAACAGCAUCAUAGGGACAAGGAGACGCAAGCCAAAAAAACCCAAAAGUAACUCUGGCUCCCUUCUGCGAGGGCAAUGCAACAGAAAAAUAGAGAAAAGAGCCAGGCUGAUCCUCACAGGUGCGCUGUGCACAUAUUCGGAAGGAAAAAAAACUCCUUCAAGGAGCAGGGCAGCUCCCUGAAUUGCAGGUAGGGGCUCAAAUAACAAAGGUCUACGUGGGAAAACGCACGCACACCCCAAAGGAAAAACAGGAUAGACAGGCAGAGCCCUGUCAGACAAGGCUUAGAUCAGAAGGUGAGCUAUGGUCCUCCACUAGCUCUAGCUGCCUCCUCACGGUCCCGGGGAGUAUAUAAUAACAGAGGAAUGCAGAUUUCCUACAAGUGAAGACUAGGCUGUCACUCUUGGCUACUGCUAUGAGUCACUGUGCCCAAAAUAUCAGGCUGUCUGCAGCUGGGUCACCACAACCCAAUGAUUCGGUGUUCCCAGCUGCUGCUGCCAGAGGUUGCCGGAUCCUGUCUGCAGCAGCUGGCCAUGAGUGGAGAGAGAUGUAGAACAACAAACAGACCUACCCUUGAGGGGUUUUUUUCCAGCCGUCUCCUUCCUUCUCCCCAUUUUACAAAGCUACAUGGCUCCUCAGCAUGCACCAGGGCAAAUUCCAGCUGGCGUCGCUACCAAAGGUGAACGGCAUGGGAUUUCUCUGCCUACCUUGGCCUAGGAACAGCAGCAACCACUAAUGAAAGCAAAAGUGAGACGUGAUCAUUUGACACCUUCCAUGUGCUUUUUGCAAGCCAUGCUAAUGACACCAGACUGUAUUGAAAGCAUGGUCCUUUUCAACUGAAAAGAAAAAAAAAAUCUCUCAUAGUCUACAAGUUUCUCCCUGAAAAACAGAUAAUGGGACACAAAUCUGCUUCAUACAGGUCUGCAGGGUCUUUGUUAUUGAGAUCAGAUGCACAAGCAAAUCAGUUCCCAGCACUUAUUGCUACAGUGGGAAACCUUCUGGAAAGCUGAAGCUAUUCACAAAGUCACUCGAAAGGUGAACCUCAGGGCCCACAUAGCAGAAGCUGGAUCAAGCAGAGUGAAGCCUGCACUCGGAAGCAUCUUUGCUCGCGAUGAAGUACAGGAGCUGGAGUGGUGGAGGCACUAAGGCGCAUGGUUGACCGCCUUGAGGUCACCCGUUCAAGGCCAUAGCAGAAGUGCUCUGCAAAUACUGCUUGACAACUUUGUCACAAAAAGGGAAGGAAGUUUGUAAAUCAGGCUGGUGACUGACCCAUUUGCUGCAAUAAGAUACCCUCCGGCUCUCCAUCUAGAGACGUGAAGUGAUGGAUUAUUCUCACCGAGCUGCGCAACUUAUCUUUAUUCCUUUUCCACUGCCGAUAAAAGACAGGAAAGAGAGAGCAGCAAUAAUAUGCUUGUGUUUUCCAACUGCUGAGUCUAUGGUUCCCACACCCAGCUAACCUAACACAGAUAUGCUGAAAUUCUCACAUGUUGACCUUACGCAGAAGCCUGCCAUUGCAAGAACCUAUUUUCCAUGCAGCAUCGGAUAGUUGUUUUAUCAAAAUAUCUAUUCUGAAUCUAUCAUUUUCACUGAGCCA